UGGGGAAUUUUGGACAAUGGGGGAAACCCUGAUCCAGCUAUCCCGCGUGUGCGAUGAAGGCCUUCGGGUUGUAAAGCACUUUUGGCAGGAAAGAAACGUCGCGGGUUAAUACCCCGCGGAACUGACGGUACCUGCAGAAUAAGCACCGGCUAACUACGUGCCAGCAGCCGCGGUAAUACGUAGGGUGCAAGCGUUAAUCGGAAUUACUGGGCGUAAAGCGUGCGCAGGCGGUUCGGAAAGAAAGAUGUGAAAUCCCAGAGCUUAACUUUGGAACUGCAUUUUUAACUACCGGGCUAGAGUGUGUCAGAGGGAGGUGGAAUUCCGCGUGUAGCAGUGAAAUGCGUAGAUAUGCGGAGGAACACCGAUGGCGAAGGCAGCCUCCUGGGAUAACACUGACGCUCAUGCACGAAAGCGUGGGGAGCAAACAGGAUUAGAUACCCUGGUAGUCCACGCCCUAAACGAUGUCAACUAGCUGUUGGGGUCUUCGGACCUUGGUAGCGCAGCUAACGCGUGAAGUUGACCGCCUGGGGAGUACGGUCGCAAGAUUAAAACUCAAAGGAAUU
rnacentral:rRNA from 1 species